AUCUGGUUUUAUCAGUGUAAUAACCGUUCCCAGACCUGUGCUAAUGAAACCUGUCAGUGAGUUCGGACAUGUGCAAGAAACUAAGGGUGACCAGAUGCUGCUCAACCAUUGCUGUGCCCGACAUACCUGUACAUACACACACGUGUGUCUGGAGGAUAUUCCUGGACAGCCCUGCUGAAAAGACUGGCUUAGACCAGCAUUUUUCAUUUCCAGCAAGUUGGUUUAUGCUGGUUAGUGCUGGUUUGGUGCUGGUUUAAGCUGAUGAAAUAUUAUAUCCAUCUUGUUCCCCAGCUAAAGACAAAUUGAUCGCAGACACAGCUGUAUUGACAGCGCAUCAGUAGGAAGUGGAGAUGACUUAAUCAGGCCGGACACUCCAUAAUGAGCACCUUGUUUUUUACUAAAUCUGUUUAUCUGGACGGUCUCUGAUGGACUAAGAGCAUCCUGUUGUCAUGGAGACUGUUGUUGCAUUUGGACAUUUACAGAAUUUACAAUCUGUGAGCUGGAGAAUUUGCUUGCCAACUACUGUGCCAUCCAUCAAGAAGAACACGCUUAACUUUCUCCAGUACCUUGAGAGUUUGCCUGCAGAAGACCGAUGCUGUCAUCAAACAGCAUGGACUUGAUGUUGAGAGACGCCAGAAUACAUUCCUUAUCCUGGAGAGACACAUCGUCGAUAUUGUUCUGAUUGGCUGACAGAAUGACAC